GCCCCACUGUUAACUAACACACACACACCUACUACCUGCCCCCCACUGUUAACUAACACACACACACAGGAAAGGUCGCUGGUUCAAAUCCCCCCGCCGACUAAAGUGAAAAUCUGACAAUGUGCCCUUGAGCAAGGCAACUAACCACACUGGCUCCUGUAAGUUGCUCUGGAUAAGAGCGUCUGCUAAAUGACUCCAAUUUCAAAGUGUAAAUUCACUUCCUGUAGUAGAGCCGGAAUGACUGCCUCAUGAAUAUUCAGAGACGGACUGUUGAAUGACUGCCUCAUGAAUAUUCAGAGACAGACUGUUGAAUGACUGCCUCAUGAAUAUUCAGAGACAGACUGUUGAAUGACUGCCUCAUGAAUAUUCAGAGACAGACUGUUGAAUGACUGCCUCAUGAAUAUUCAGAGACAGACUGUUGAAUGACUGCCUCAUGAAUAUUCAGAGACGGACUGUUGAAUGACUGCCUCAUGAAUAUUCAGAGACAGACUGUUGAAUGACUGCCUCAUGAAUAUUCAGAGACGGACUGGUACACUCCAAGACAAAAGCUUUUUAAAUGCUGUAAAUGUUUUACUCGUAACCUACAAGAUGAACUGAUUUUAACUUUCACCUGCUCUGACGUUCGUGUCUGAGAAGCACAUUAUUUUCUGCUCUGAUAGGAUAGUCUGAUAGGUUAGUUUAAUACACUGCUCUGAUAGGUUAGUUUAAUACACUGCUCUGAUAGGAUAGUUUUAUACACUGCUCUGAUAGGAUAGUCUGAUAGGGUAGUUUAAUACACUGCUCUGAUAGGUUAGUUUUAUACACUGCUCUGAUAGGUUAGUUUAAUACACUGCUCUGAUAGGUUAGUUUAAUACACUGCUCUGAUAGGUUAGUUUAAUACACUGCUCUGAUAGGUUAGUUUUAUACACUGCUCUGAUAGGAUAGUCUGAUAGGUUAGUUUAAUACACUGCUCUGAUAGGAUAGUUUAAUACACUGCUCUGAUAGGUUAGUUUAAUACACUGCUCUGAUAGGAUAGUCUGAUAGGGUAGUUUUAUACACUGCUCUGAUAGGAUAGUCUGAUAGGUUAGUUUAAUACACUGCUCUGAUAGGAUAGUCUGAUAGGGUAGUUUAAUACACUGCUCUGAUAGGGUAGUUUAAUACACUGCUCUGAUAGGGUAGUUUAAUACACUGCUCUGAUAGGGUAGUUUAAUACACUGCUCUGAUAGGAUAGUUUUAUACACUGCUCUGAUAGGAUAGUUUAAUACACUGCUCUGAUAGGUUAGUUUAAUACACUGCUCUGAAGACUGUUGAUGCCAUUGGAGAUCCACAAACUGACUGUGGAAUGUUUUGGUUCCUGAUGGUCAAAUCUGAAGCCCUAUUCUCUAUAGUAGGGGUCAAAUCUGAAGCCCUAUUCUCUAUGUAGUGCACUAAGGGGAUAGUAGGGGUCAAAUCUGAAGCCCUAUUCUCUAUGUAGUGCACUAAAGGGAUAGUAGGGGUCAAAUCUGAAGCCCUAUUCUCUAUGUAGUGCACUAAGGGGAUAGUAGGGGUCUGCACUAUGAAGGGAAUAGGGGGGAUAAUUUGAAGAUGAAGCCUUUUUGUCACUGAUACGGUUGUGGUUUUAUACAGUACCAAUGUAAAAGCACAUUGACGAUCUAUAUUCCUUUAAUUAUGAAUGAGAUGAUGCUUUAUGGAUUCAUCCCAGACUGCUCUCUGUUUUCUACACAGAUGCAGACCUUUGAGGGAAAACUUUUAUACUUUGGGUUUUUGGAAUAAUAAAAUGAAAAUAAAUAAAUAAAACAUGUGGUGAACUAAA
ensembl:lncRNA